rnacentral:rRNA from 1 species
AACGAACGCUGGCGGCAGGCUUAACACAUGCAAGUCGAGCGCCCCGCAAGGGGAGCGGCAGACGGGUGAGUAACGCGUGGGAAUCUACCCAUCUCUACGGAAUAACGCAUGGAAACGUGUGCUAAUACCGUAUACGUCCUUCGGGAGAAGGAUUUAUCGGAGAUGGAUGAGCCCGCGUUGGAUUAGCUAGUUGGUGGGGUAAAGGCCUACCAAGGCGACGAUCCAUAGCUGGUCUGAGGGGAUGAUCAGCCACACUGGGACUGAGACACGGCCCAGACUCCUACGGGAGGCAGCAGUGGGGAAUAUUGGACAAUGGGCGCAAGCUUGAUCCGGCCAUGCCGCGUGAGUGAUGAAGGCCCUGGGGUUGUAAAGCUCUUUCACCGGUGAAGAUAAUGACGGUAACCGGAGAAGAAGCCCCGGCUAACUUCGUGCCAGCCGCCGCUGUAACAC